UAUGACCAUAUCACGUUCAAACACCGGUUUUCGUACGAUCACCGAAGUUAAGUAAUAUCGAGAUUAGUCAGUACUUAAAUGGGUGACUAUUUGGGAAUACCGGACGCUGUAA